rnacentral:lncRNA from 1 species
UGGGGUGGGGUGGGGUGGGGUGGGGUGGGGGCGGGCCCGAGGGAGCGCACCUCGGGGAGACACCCUCCUCUCCUGCCGGCCUGCGGGACACGGCCCUCCCCCACCUCCCCUGCUCGGCCGUCGCAGGUGUGGGCGCCUCCGGGCCCUGGCUAGCCCGUUCAGGGUCUCUUUUACAUUGGUUAGUUGAGCCAACUCUUUCCAACCUGGACUGCUGACCUGUGACCUCCCAUUAUUCAAACCAAGGCUGACCUAUGUGGGCAUCUGGAGACCCUUGGCCUUGUUGCUUCACUUAUCCGCAUCACCUUCUGAAAUCAAGAUACUUCAUCAAGUCAGUGAAGCUCAGGAUUGACCAACAGAUGCAUGAACAGGAGCUGGAAAAAAUUAUGGAAGAGAGACUGGAAGAGCGAUGGCUGGUGUGCAGAGCCUGCAUCACAUCUCUAUGGGGACUGUGCCAGGAAGCAAGGGUGGAAGAGAAGCUUCCCAUGCCUGGUUUAUAAAUAUGGCCUUGAAAAUGUCCACAGACGUAUUGUUGUCUUGUUGAGUCUGCAGCCAGGAAGGCAGAAAUCACUGUGGCAAAGCAGGUGUGAACGUCCCCCUACUUCAGAGGCAGCUCUCUUUGAAGCUGGAAAAUCAAGGACGCUGGUACCUUCAAGGAAACAAGGAUAUAAUUAUCACAACCCCCAACUGGCCAGUGACCUUCCAUUCCUCAGGCCACCCUACUCCCUUCGCUGGCACCAGCCCAGGUCCUCACAGACUCAGCUCUGUGUCCCAGACCGCUCAGACCCAGGAGCAACCCCCUCAUGCACCCUUUGA